ACGUACGCAACCUUCCUUUAAGCGGGGAAUAGCCCAGGGAAACUUGGAUUAAUACCCCAUAACACAAUCGGGUGGCAUCACUUGAUUGUUAAAGCUCCGGCACUUAAAGAUGGGCGUGCGGCUGAUUAGGUAGUUGGCGGGGUAACGGCCCACCAAGCCGACGAUCAGUAACUGGUGUGAGAGCACGACCAGUCACACGGGCACUGAGACACGGGCCCGACUCCUACGGGAGGCAGCAGUAAGGAAUAUUGGUCAAUGGACGCAAGUCUGAACCAGCCAUGCCGCGUGGAGGAUGAAGGCCCUCUGGGUUGUAAACUUCUUUUAUUGGGGAAGAAACCGGUUCUUUCUAGAGCCGUUGACGGUACCCGACGAAUAAGCACCGGCUAACUCCGUGCCAGCAGCCGCGGUAAUACGGAGGGUGCAAGCGUUAUCCGGAUUCACUGGGUUUAAAGGGUGCGUAGGUGGGCAGGUAAGUCAGUGGUGAAAUCUCCGGGCUUAACCCGGAAACUGCCGUUGAUACUAUCUGUCUUGAAUAUAGUGGAGGUGAGCGGAAUAUGUCAUGUAGCGGUGAAAUGCUUAGAUAUGACAUAGAACACCCAUUGCGAAGGCAGCUCGCUACACUAUUAUUGACACUGAGGCACGAAAGCGUGGGGAUCAAACAGGAUUAGAUACCCUGGUAGUCCACGCCCUAAACGAUGGAUACUCGACAUCAGCGAUACACUGUUGGUGUCUGAGCGAAAGCAUUAAGUAUCCCACCUGGGAAGUACGACCGCAAGGUUGAAACUCAAAGGAAUUGAC
rnacentral:rRNA from 1 species